ensembl:lncRNA
AUGUGGAGCGUGAGACCUGCCACUGCAGCCAGUGACGAGGACGCCAGUGUGGGGUCUCGUGAGCCGGACGUAGAGUACACUGAGGUGGUGCACCCCCAGCCGACAGACCCCACCAAAGUGGUGCUGAAGAAGGGCACGGACACUGUGUACACCGAGCUCCAGAACGCUCCUCCCAGUGUGGUCGCUGAUGCUGCUGCUGCUGCUGCUGAUCACGAAUACGUGAGUCAUGUUUAUUUCUAUACAUUCCUUCUCUCUUUCUUCUUAUUCAACGACAGCUCAAUACAUGACCUUGCUAUUCACACUCGGAGGAAGAACCAUCGAGUUGACUUUCCCGUACUUUACCGAGUUCGCCCGUGGCCAGACUCGUGUUGGUUUCCCUCCAUUGCUCCGCUGCUCCUCCUGUGGUUCAGCCUUGACCACGGCCUCCCUGCCUCUCGCCAGGCCGAGGGGGGUGGGGUCGGAGGGUGGAGGGGGUGGGUGGGGGGGGGUGGGGAGAAGUGGUGCUCAGAGUUUCCAGGCAAGAACAAAGACCUUUUGGGCUGGGGCUUCCUUCCCUAUCGCUUGGUUACAUCAAACCAGUUCAAUUACCCUCCUGAACAUCUCCUCCUCCUCCUCCUCCUCCUCCUCCUCCUCCUCCUCCUCCUCCUCCUCCUCCUCCUCCUUCCCCUCCUUUGCCCCUCCACCUCCUUCUCCACCUCCCGCUCCUCCUCCUCCUCCUCCACCUCCCGCUCCUCCUUCUCCUCAUCCUCCCCCUCCUCCUCCUCCUCCUCCUCCUCCACCUCCCGCUUCUCCUCCUCCUCCUCCUCCUCCUCCUCCUGAGUCACUACCCCCAGCCCCUGUCGUGACCAUAUAAGGUGCGUGGGUCGUCCGGCCGGUCUAUCUGAGGUCAGACACUGUGAUGGGUCAUAAAUUAGCCGUGACGUCAUGCUCCAAAAUAGGAGGGAAAAGGGCGGUUUCUGUUUGAGUCCUGGCGCGCUAUCUCUGUCCACGGAGGUUUUGGAGCGGCGAGAUUACACUUGUUUCGUUUGUAUAAAUAAGCCGGUUCCUGGCAGCUAUCUGUUAAAAUAUCUUUGCCUCGACCGCGGUCGGUGGAAUGGGAGUUUUAAUAUCGACCGACUUAACAACACACUAGCUCCCCAGCUAUAGUUAUACAGCACCAGCUAUAGUUAUACACCACCUCCUUCAGUUAUACACCACCAGCUAUAGUUUUACACCACCAGUUAUACACCACCUCCGUCAAUUAUACGCCAACUCCUUCAGUUAUACACCACCAGCUAUAGUUAUACACGCAACUCUAGUUUUACACCACCCCCUCUGGUGGACAAAUUAGAUAGGCCUAUUUAAUCUGUAAACUUGAUUGCGCCUAAUUGCAAUCAGCUGUGUUUAAGUAUCAAAUUAGUAUUUAAAACGUUAAAAGUUAAAAGAUACUUUUGUUUUCAUCCGUAUGAUAGUGACAGCAUUUUUGCGAUUAUAGGGGAUGUGAGAGAUGUGAAGAGUGGGAGCCGCCGAGAGCUUUAUUAGAAAUAAUCGGACAUAAACAACCGAAAUAAAAAAAAACUCCCUUUCUUCUUCGCUCCCUUCCUGCCUUCGUCGCCCUCUCUUCGUCUCCCUCUCUUCGUCUCCCUCUCCUGAGGAGUAAAGCAUUUGUUGUGAUUAGCAAGAAUAUUCUCCCGACCCAUCAUGGGAGAGAUGCCCUGAUCUCCGGUCGAGAUGCCCUGGUUCCCGGUCGAGUUAACCGUUCUCUGUGACUCCUCUGCAGGGUUCACUGCAGUACGCCGACCUGAAGAACACUCACCCUCUGCUCGGUCCAGAUGAGGACUACAACCAUGGGCUCCCUGUGCCAGUGGAUUAAUUAUUAUUUUCUCUCUCUCUCUCUCUCUCUCUCUCUCUCUCUCUCUCUCUCUCUCUCUCUCUCUCUCUCUCUCUCUCUCUCUCUCUCUCUCUCUCUCUCUCUCUCAACACUUCGCUCUAUUUUCUAUAACCACUGUUUUGUUUUGUCUUGUGUCUCAGUAAUUCAAAUGAGUAAUUAUGCUUGCUGUAAAUGCCCCAUCUCAAUAAACCGCACUUCAGAUAAAUAAUAAGACGUGAUACAAUUUAUUGUUGUCUUUAAAAAUGUUCGUUGUGUCAUCUGGGCUGUGUUACCACAAUAUUGGAUUCAUACCGGGGUACAACCGGUGGAGAGCUUAGUUUUCCUUCCACGUCCCAGGUGAAUAAAAAGAUGCUUGGGUCACACACUACUGGAUUGAAUCCAGUACGCGUAAACCCGCAUACACGCACGGUGUUCAUGCGAGUUGUCACAGGCCUUAAGAACCACGUCUAUAGCUGCAAUAUUAGUGAAUCACCACACGACACGGGACAUGGAAAGUAGUGACGGCAUGUUAACCAGGGGGGGGCAGGCCGGUCUCAGCUGCCUGUGCCAAGGUUCUGGGUGCCAACUAAUUGAAUGUGUAAGCAUAUACGCCCUACGUUCAUCCGUUUCAUUAUUAUCAUCACACAUUAAAUAAGCAAUGUGAAUCAUCGUUUGUUUUACUAUUUUAUACUUUGGUUUGAAGUAGGCCUAGCUGCCGCUUGAGUGCCCUGCUUUUAUAGUUUGUGAAGGGCGACAUCUUGCGGCAGAAAUUGGUCAAUGAAAAUAAAUCAUAACUGCAAAAAAAAAAAAUAACACACGACACACGACACACACGCGCACACGCACACACACGAGGGCUGCAUAAUCAAUUCGGAAAAUGUAUUUCAAUACAAUAAGUAACACCGUCUCUUGUUGAUAAGGAUGCAAAAAGGGGAAAGAAGAAGAAAAUAAAAAAAAUAAAACGAAAAUUUUCCAGAAUUAAAUUUUCUCUAGACAUAGCAUUUGGCAAGGAAAGAUAUCAAUUCUAACACCUCUAUAAGAUGAGAAUGGAACAACCCGUUGGCUGUGACAGACCAUUUGCGUGUCCACACGCCAAUAUAAGGCAUCACGGCUUUACAAAGGAACAAAUAUUUAUAUUUACAUCAACUAUGUACAAACACAAUUUAUAAAUACAUUUAAGCUAUAAAUUUAAAAUAAAAUAAAACAGCGUUUUGAGCGUUGUCUUCCGAUCCUUUGACGAUUUAUGAAGCCUUGUCGAAAAAUCGCACGAAUCGUACGUCAGUAAGGUGAAACAAUGCAAAGUAAAUGCGGUGAUCAAUAACCUUUUUUUACAUUAUGCAAUAAAAAUGCAAAAGGCCAAUAUGUACAUUCAUGAAAAACCCUGCUGGCACCCACAGGGGGCAGUAUUUCAAACCAAAUGAGGGCGGGAGUUGCGCUUGCUCAGGACGAUAGUAUUUAUCACCCUUGAGCGUUUCCACAUUUUGUUGUGUAACCAUUUAAUUAUCUUCCAUUUAAUGGCCAUGUAAAUGUUAAUGAUUUAUUUAUAACAAUAAAACAUUGAAUCUGAUGGCGGAGAUUGUGUGUGGAUGAGGGCUGGUUCAAGCAGCUUCACCUGGCCGAGUCUGAUUGGACUCUAGGCUUGGUGGGGCAGCACACCUGUUGCGCAUUGAGUAAUCAAUGUGCACAAGUUAAACCAGCCAUUUGUGGCUGUUAUCAGCAUCUACAAACCAUACUCUAAACCGGCUUUCAACACCACCUAUUCCUGUGUGUGGAGGAGUCGAUCUCUCCCUGAGUGUGUGUGGUGAAGGCUGGUUUAACCUGUGCACACUGAUUACUCAAUGCCCACCAGGAGUGCAGCCUCACCCAAGCCCCAGAGUCCAAUCAGAAUCGGCCAGGUGAGGCUGAUUAAACCAACCAGCAAUCACACACUCCAUACUAAUCUAAUCUUAAAAAUAAUUUCCAUAAAAGUAUCCCCCCUAGUCAGAACAACCGUUGGCUGUAAUUAUAGCUGUGCAUUUUUUCAGACAAGUCACUACCAGUAUUUGCAUUUAAAUGUAAUUUUUUCUUUCCUGAGGAAUGAAGUCGGGUUGGAUGCUGUCUACGGCUAUUUUGAAGUGUUGCCACAUACUCUCAAUUUUAUUGAGGUCCAGGCCUGAGCUGGGCCAUUCCACAGCAUUCAGGUUUUUAAACUACUCCAGUGAAGCAUUGGCUGUACGUGAAGGGAUCAGUUGACAUGCUAUCCCUACCACAACGCCAUGCUCCCAUCAAUAUUGUCUCAUUAUCCAUGAUGCUGUUUGCAGCCUUUUAGAAAAAGGUGUAUUUGUUUUGUGAUUAUUUCAGGAAAAUUGGCUUCUUUAUUAACCUCAACAGUGAGUUGCACAAGGGCGGGUACGUUUAUUUUAAUUACGUAGGAUAUUGAACUGCAAUUGCUACACAAUGCAAAUUCAAUCCAUUUGAAUCCAUGCCAAAUGUUGUAAUCAACCACCACAUGUUUGCAAAUAUUUACAAAGGUUAUGGCAGUUUAACCUUGGGUCAUUCUGUGUAGCUUUGCAUGU